rnacentral:lncRNA from 1 species
UAAAGAAUAACCAAAGAAUAAAGUGAUUUAAUAAAAAAAAUCUUUUUAACAUAGUUAUCAAUAGACUUUUUUGGGCAAAGAUAGUAUCAAUAGAUAAUGUACCAGACACCACCAAUUGUGGCAAGUAAUAAUAAAGUGUUACUUUUACCAACUUUUUUCUAAAUAACUAAAAGACAAUUGUUUUCAAUGAUAAAAUAUUAAAAUAAGAUAUUUAAUUAAAAUAUAAAUGAAAUUAUUGAAUUAAAAUAGUUGAAAACCUACAUGUUGAAGUGUAUGAAUGUCACCUUCAACUUGACCUGGCAAAUAUGAAAAAAAACAGCUGAUUAGCAGAGUAGGGAUGAAAACAAUAGAAUUGAUGAAGAAAGAAACAAAAGAUGAAGUUGCUCCGAACCUCAGUCUCCAGCUUUUUCUGUGAAUGUCUUAUAUUAAUAUAAUAUUCUCACUCCUUUUCAAACGUAACUACCUCUGUCCUUUCAUCAUCACUCACAACUUCAUUUCUUUCUGGUGGGGACAUUAUCCAAAGUUAAAUACUCCCUUUUUAAUUCACUAAUCAUUUUUACCUUUAAACGACUAAUCCAAGGACCGAUUAAAAUGAAAUUGCCAUCAACACAGAAAACACGUGGAUAAUGUGUUUGCCAAUAGUGAAAAUGGCUACUACAACUUUUAGACUAGCCAUUUCUCUUUAUUUUCUCGGUUGCAUAUCUCCGUUGAUAUUUUAUAUUAUAUUAUUACGUGUAAAUUUUAUUUUAUAAAUUUAAGUUAGAUUUAAAGUUUGUUUUUAACAUAUAAAUUUGUAUACUUUCAUAAAUG